UAUUGCCUCCUGCCUCAUGAAGGCUGGUCCUGUCUCUAUAGUGAAUAUUGUGCAGGAAUUAGUAGGAGAGAGAACUAAGAAGCUGCAGACAUCUACAGAGCCAUUCAACUGGCAUUUCGGAAGAUGUUGCCCAUCAGAGUCAGACCUUCUUAGCAUCUUCUGGCUGGGCCCAAACUUCCCAAGACCAUUUGGACAAGGUCAUCUCUAUCCCACCAUGGCCUCCUCCCAGAAGAGGAGAAGAAUCAUGCUGUUACAGCAGAACCGAAGAUUUGGGCAAGGGAGCUAAUGAUUAUGUUCUGCGUCAGGUCAGAGAUGGGCUGGGAAAGCCACUCCAAAGCCAAGACAAGCAGUUUCCUGGAAAAAGAAGGCUGCGCGGAGCCCAGAGUGGCCUGGAUCCUGCCUCAUUUCCUG
rnacentral:lncRNA from 1 species